UCGAGCCGAUCGCGACGCCAAGAUAUGCUGCAUUCCUCCCUCUUCCUCGCCGCCCGACGCCGUGAUUCCUCCCUCUUCCUCGCCGCCCGACGCCGUGAUUCCUCCCGCCUCCCGCUGUCGACGCCGGCAUCGACGCCAAGAUCCGUGAUUCCUCCCUCUUCCUCGCCGCCCGACGUCGUGAUUCCUCCCUCUUCCUCGUCGCCCGACGCCGUGAUUCCUCCCGCCUCCCGCUGUCGAGCCGACGCCGACGCCGAGAUAAGGUUAUCCAUAACAAGAAAGAGUUUCUAUAUUGUGAAGAGAGGUCGAUGAUGUGGCAUUUUCGAUAAUUGGGAGGAAUGCAAAUCUCAAGUUGAUAAAUUCCCAAAUGCCUCCUACAAAGGGUUUGAAACGUACGAAGAUGCUUUGCUUGAAUGGGAGAAGCACACCAUUGCUCGUGAUUCAGCAUCCAGUUCAAGGCAUGUCCUGACACCAGUUCAAUUUCAACAACAAAUACUUCCGUCGGGACAUAAUCUGGAUGAGGACAAGGCAAAACUUGGGGAAACUGCUAUUUCCUCCAUUUAUGCUUUUGUAUUAGGUUCGGUGUUUACAAUAUUAGUGUUUCUAGUAUGUAUCAUUGCCGUGUUUGUUGGUUUCUCCAUUGCAAAAAACAUGUGAUGUGAUUUGUGGAUGAUUCUUCUAUGUGAGGAUAAGCUUGUAUAACUUGGGUCAUUUUGUACUGAGUUUGAACUCAAUUUUCACAAUGUUUGAAGUCAGUUUGUGGUCAUUUUUGUCCUCAGUUUGUACUCAAUCAUGAGCUUGUUUGUGGUCAGUUUGUCCUCAAAUGUUAGCUUAUUUGUGAUCAUUUUGUGCUCUGAUUAGUACAUAAAUAAAUAAAAGUGUUCACUUUUCA